rfam:Enterococcus sp. HSIEG1 chromosome, whole genome shotgun sequence.
GGAAUUCUGUGAUGUACGAGUUGUCCCAUCUGUGUGUUGACCGAACAUUUUUAUUGAUAUAUUGGGAUCCGUCUUGUGUCAAAGCUGGUAACAUGCCUUUUCAUUUGGUAGUUCGAUGCUUAGACCGUGGAACCCACCUGCUAGAAUUUGCGGGAUCAAUACUACGGGAAAAAGAACGGCAUCUACGGAUAUUAC